rnacentral:tRNA from 1 species
GGUUAUAGCUUAGUUGGUAGAGUGCUUGCCUCACAUGCACAUGGCCCUGGGUUCAAUCCCAGCACCA